GUUUAGACUGCAAGGGAGAAUAUACAGACACUGCAGGCAGUGCAUCACCUGCAGACACAUCCACUGGAGGCAGCUGACACCCGACACUAAAAUGUCUGAUAGCUGAUUCAAUUCAAUUCAAUUUGACCUCAGUCAAUAACCAUUCAUGAGAUCUGA